GGAGCAGCAGUGGGGAAUAUUGCACAAUGGGCGAAAGCCUGAUGCAGCGACGCCGCGUGAGGGAUGACGGCCUUCGGGUUGUAAACCUCUUUCGACAGGGACGAAGCGCAAGUGACGGUACCUGUAGAAGAAGCACCGGCCAACUACGUGCCAGCAGCCGCGGUAAUACGUAGGGUGCGAGCGUUGUCCGGAAUUACUGGGCGUAAAGAGCUUGUAGGCGGCUUGUCGCGUCGAUCGUGAAAACUUGGGGCUCAACCCCAAGCUUGCGGUCGAUACGGGCAGGCUUGAGUACUUCAGGGGAGACUGGAAUUCCUGGUGUAGCGGUGAAAUGCGCAGAUAUCAGGAGGAACACCGGUGGCGAAGGCGGGUCUCUGGGAAGUAACUGACGCUGAGAAGCGAAAGCGUGGGUAGCGAACAGGAUUAGAUACCCUGGUAGUCCACGCCGUAAACGGUGGGUACUAGGUGUGGGUUUCCUUCCACGGGAUCCGUGCCGUAGCUAAC
rnacentral:rRNA from 1 species